rnacentral:rRNA from 1 species
UCCAGACUCCUACGGGAGGCAGCAGUGGGGGAUAUUGCACAAUGGGGGGAACCCUGAUGCAGCGACGCCGCGUGGGUGAAGGAGCGUUUCGGCGCGUAAAGCCCUAUCGGCAGGGAAGAAGGAGGACGGUACCUGACUAAGAAGCCCCGGCUAACUACGUGCCAGCAGCCGCGGUAAUACGUAGGGGGCAAGCGUUAUCCGGAUUUACUGGGUGUAAAGGGGGCGCAGACGGCAGCGCAAGCCAGGAGUGAAAGCCCGGGGCCCAACCCCGGGACUGCUCUUGGAACUGCGCGGCUGGAGUGCAGGAGGGGCAGGCGGAAUUCCUGGUGUAGCGGUGAAAUGCGUAGAUAUCAGGGGGAACACCGGUGGCGAAGGCGGCCUGCUGGACUGCGACUGACGUUGAGGCCCGAAAGCGUGGGGAGCAAACAGGAUUAGAUACCCCUGUA